CGUUUAAAACAAUAUAAAGUUGAAAAAAGAAGAAAGAAUAUAUGAAUAUAUGAAAUAAUUCAACGUAGGAAAUCGGAUAAGGUGUAACAGGAACAAUUACCAGGUGAACUUAGAUAAGAAGGAACUUGCAUCUGACAAAAUGGGAAAUAAAACAAAACCGAACGAUUCUAUACGUCUAGUAACUCUCCGAACCUUCCACAAUUCAAGUAUCUUCGAUACGAAGAAUUUAAAAAAACCUGUAAGAAGACAACAAAAGACUUCUGCAAUUAAAGACUAUCUCCCAGGUACGGUCAGACGAUCUUUGACUCAUAGUCUAUCGAGAGUUGGUUUCUAUCGAGAGUUGGUUGAUUACUCUGAUUUCUCUUGCUCAUAUCUCGACUGGUCUACUCGUUUAGUUUUUAUAAU
rnacentral:lncRNA from 1 species